rnacentral:rRNA from 1 species
GCUUAUGGCCAUAUCACCUUGAAUGCAUCGGCACUCGUCCGAUCACCUCAGUUAAGCAACGUCAAGCCUAGUAGUAAUAAGAUAGGUGGCUGCUUGGGAAACGUAGGUACUCUAAGCC